UACGUAGGGGGCAAGCGUUGUCCGGAAUCAUUGGGCGUAAAGAGCGUGUAGGCGGCUCGAUAAGUCCGCUCCGAAAGCCCGGGGCUCAACCCCGGGAGGCGGGCGGAUACUGUCGAGCUAGAGUCCGGAAGAGGCGAGUGGAAUUCCUGGUGUAGCGGUGAAAUGCGCAGAUAUCAGGAGGAACACCAAUGGCGAAGGCAGCUCGCUGGGACGGUACUGACGCUGAGACGCGAAAGCGUGGGGAGCAAACAGG
rnacentral:rRNA from 1 species